rnacentral:rRNA from 1 species
AAAAUUUAAAAUUAUAAUACUAAAAUAGUAAAUAAUUAUUUAUUAAAACUUAAAUAAUUUGGCGGUAUUUUAGUUCAUUUAGAGGAAUCUGUUUAAUAAUUGAUAUUCCACGAAUAAAUUUACUUAAUUUAUAAUUUUGUAUAUCGUUGUUAUAAAAAUAUUUUUUAAUAAAAUUAAUAUUUAAAAAUUAUUAUAAAAAUUUAAAUCAGAUCAAGAUGCAGAUUAUAAUUAAGAAUAUAAUGGAUUACAAUAAAAUUAUUUAAAUGAAUAUUAAUUUGUAAAAAUUAAUUGAAAGUGGAUUUAAAUGUAAUUUUAUUUAAUUUAAUAAAAUGAUUAAAAAUUAAAAUAUGU